AACGAACGCUGGCGGCAUGCCUAACACAUGCAAGUCGAGCGCCUGUAGCAAUACAGGAGCGGCGCACGGGUGAGUAACGCGUGGGAACCUGCCUAGAGGUUCGGGACAACCGCGGGAAACUGCGGCUGAUACCGGAUGAUGUCCAUGGCGCGAGUCAUGGACCAAAGAUUUAUCGCCUUUAGAGGGGCCCGCGUCGGAUUAGGUAGUUGGUGAGGUAACGGCUCACCAAGCCUGCGAUCCGUAGCUGGUCUGAGAGGAUGACCAGCCACACUGGGACUGAGACACGGCCCAGACUCCUACGGGAGGCUG
rnacentral:rRNA from 1 species